GGGGCUGUAGUGUAGCUUGGUAUCACUGGCGGUUCGGGGCCGCCCAACCGGGGUUCGAAUCCUCGCAGCCCCA
rnacentral:tRNA from 1 species